UACGGGGGGGGCAAGCGUUGUUCGGAAUUACUGGGCGUAAAGGGCUCGUAGGCGGCCAACUAAGUCGGACGUGAAAUCCCUCGGCUUAACCGGGGAACUGCGUCCGAUACUGGAUGGCUUGAGUUCGGGAGAGGGAUGCGGAAUUCCAGGUGUAGCGGUGAAAUGCGUAGAUAUCUGGAGGAAUACCGGUGGCGAAGGCGGCAUCCUGGACCGGCAUUGACGCUGAGGAGCGAAAGCUAGGGGAGCAAACGGG
rnacentral:rRNA from 1 species